ACCCAGGUACGACCCGGCACCCGCAUGGUGCGGGGACCGGCCUGGUGCACAACCCUGAGGGA
rnacentral:ncRNA from 1 species